AGUGAACGCUGGCGGUAGGCCUAACACAUGCAAGUCGAACGGCAGCACAGUAAGAGCUUGCUCUUACGGGUGGCGAGUGGCGGACGGGUGAGGAAUACAUCGGAAUCUACUUUUUCGUGGGGGAUAACGUAGGGAAACUUACGCUAAUACCGCAUACGACCUACGGGUGAAAGCAGGGGAUCUUCGGACCUUGCGCGAUUGAAUGAGCCGAGGUCGGAUUAGCUAGUUGGCGGGGUAAAGGCCCACCAAGGCGCCGAUCCGUAGCUGGUCUGAGAGGAUGAUCAGCCACACUGGAACUGAGACACGGUCCAGACUCCUACGGGAGGCAGCAGUGGGGAAUAUUGGACAAUGGGCGCAAGCCUGAUCCAGCCAUACCGCGUGGGUGAAGAAGGCCUUCGGGUUGUAAAGCCCUUUUGUUGGGAAAGAAAAGCAGCAGGUUAAUACCCCGCUGUUCUGACGGUACCCAAAGAAUAAGCACCGGCUAACUUCGUG
rnacentral:rRNA from 1 species